rnacentral:rRNA from 1 species
AGGACGAACGCUGGCGGCGUGCCUAACACAUGCAAGUCGAACGAGGUCCAACCGGUAGCAAUACCGGUGAAGACCAAGUGGCGAACGGGUGAGUAGCACGUGAGCAACCUGCCCCGAAGACCGGGACAACACCGGGAAACCGGUGCUAAUACCGGAUAUCCCCACCGAGUCGCAUGGCUUGGUGAGGAAAUGGAUUCCGCUUCGGGAGGGGCUCGCGGCCUAUCAGCUUGUUGGCGGGUAACGGCCCACCAAGGCGACGACGGGUA